AGAGUUUGAUCCUGGCUCAGGAUGAACGCUAGCUACAGGCUUAACACAUGCAAGUCGAGGGGAAACGACAUCGAAAGCUUGCUUUUGAUGGGCGUCGACCGGCGCACGGGUGAGUAACGCGUAUCCAACCUGCCCACCACUUGGGGAUAACCUUGCGAAAGUAAGACUAAUACCCAAUGACGUCUCUAGAAGACAUCUGAAAGAGAUUAAAGAUUUAUCGGUGAUGGAUGGGGAUGCGUCUGAUUAGCUUGUUGGCGGGGUAACGGCCACCAAGGCGACGAUCAGGUAGGGGUUCUGAGAGGAAGGUCCCCCANAGUUGGAACUGAGACACGGUCCAAACUCCUACGGGCGGCA
rnacentral:rRNA from 1 species